GUCAUAUUGGCUUAGUGGUAUAGCGGUCGUUUUGUAAUCGGCAGGUCAUAGGUUCAAAUCCUAUAUAUGACA
rnacentral:tRNA from 1 species